rnacentral:pre_miRNA from 1 species
ACCGAAGCCUAUUUGCCAUCAGCGAGGUAUAGAGUUCCUACGUGCCACUUAAACUAGUCGUAGGAACUUAAUACCGUGCUCUUGGAGGGCUGUCGAC